rnacentral:ncRNA from 2 species
UUCCGACCGGGUCACUACGGUCCGGUCGGUGAAAAGGGAAUCUGGUGAGAAUCCAGAGCUGCCCCGCAGCGGUGACGGAAACGACAGCGGCUCCUCGCACUGGACUUCACGGUCCGGGAAGCGGCCGCGGGUAGGUGGCAUCUCGGUGCCGGGUCCGAAGUCCGAAGACCUGCCGCCGUGGCCAUGGGGGA